rnacentral:misc_RNA from 1 species
GCAUAAAUAUUCGAUCUACAAAGCCAUCAGGCCACUAACGUUUUCGUGAAAAACAAAGAAAUGUCGAAGCCGCUCUUUUUGAACACCAAUGGUGAAUUGGAGAAUAAAAUUAAAGAGCUCAGCUUAUUAAAGAGCCCCGAAAGAUCAGCUAGAAAAGAAGUAAAAUACCUUGGUGACGAUGAUGACCACUCUUCGAGAGCUCCUAGGUCAGCUUUUUCACCCUCACCUCGUAUGGAUGAACUACAACGUUUCGAGCACAAGCAUCAAGUUGUAGCGGAGAUGUCUGCAGCCUACAAAAAUCUAUUGGUUUCCAUUGGUGAAGACCCAGGCCGUCAAGGUUUGCUUAAGACACCGGACAGAGCAGCCAAAGCUUUCCUCUACUUUACUAGAGGUUACGACGAGAAGAUAUCAGAUGUUCUAAACGAUGCGAUUUUCGACGAGGAUACAGACGAAAUGGUUAUUGUUAAGAAUAUUGAAAUGUUCUCAAUGUGCGAGCAUCAUCUUGUUCCUUUUAUUGGAAAGGUAUCAAUUGGUUACUUGCCCAAUAAAAGAGUAAUAGGCUUAAGUAAAUUAGCCAGAAUUGUGGAGGUGUACAGUAGAAGAUUGCAAGGUAAAAAUGGAACUUACUUUUAUUUGUUUAUAAUUAAUAGAUUAAAAAAAAAAUUGAGAAAAGCAAAAAGAAUAGAAAAGAGAAAAUAACUCAUUUUUUUUUAAGUUAAAGGGAAAACUAGUAGGAAACUAAUUUCGAUAUAAUCUAAAGAAAAAUCUAGACUUAAAUAAUAAUAAGGGAAAAUACAAAUUCCGUUUUAAAAUAACUGGAGUUUUUGUACGAGAACGCCGCAUAUAUAUCGACGCAAGCCCCAAUCGAAUAUUGCAAUAGCAUGUUAAUGAGGCAGCAAUAUUCAGCAAUACAGUUUCUGUUUGCAUGUUUGGACAUUUUGGUCGCUAUUUCAGUAAUACAACAUUUUGCCCGUAUGUCGAAAUAUAAAUAUAACAAUAUAGUUGGUAUUCUAUCAGUUCAAGAACGGCUUUCAAAACAAAUUGCUGAAGCGGUUGUUACUGCUGUUCAACCAUUCGGUGUUGCUGUCAACAUUGAGGCAACUACAAGAACGUCUCACUAAACAAAUAGCACUAGCGAUUUUCGAAGCAAUAAGUCCUGCAGGUGUCGCUGUUGUUUGCGAAGCUUCGCAUAUGUGCAUGGUGAUGAGAGGCGUGCAGAAAAUUAAUAGUAGGACCAUAACGAGCACAAUGUUAGGCGUCUUCAGGGAAGAUCCCAAGACUAGAGAGGAAUUUUUAACCUUGAUUAAAGAAUAAAACUCUUUGUUUGGUGAUGGAAUUCUUAAAUACUCAUAUUCACGGAAAAGGGUAUUUUAUCCACAUUUAAGGAAACAAUUAAGUCCUGUUCAAAUGGAUAUUAAUGGAACAAUUAAGGAACAUUCAUUUAAUCUUAUAUUUUGUUUGAAAAAAAAAGUUUUUGCAGGCAAAUCAUGUAAAUGUUGUUUACUAAUUUUUCUGUAAAUUUUAAGAAAAACCUGGGUAAAAUUCAAAUGAAAAAUAGAAUGAAGAUGAAAAAUGGCGAAAAUGGGAAUAAUUUAUUAAGUAUAAAUUAAAUUUUCAACCACGACUAACCACUUGAAGAGAAUAACAAGAAGCAAUAAUGAAAUCAAGUUUAUCCUAAUUUUCCUCUAAUGAUCAUUUAAUGUUGCCCUGCAAAAAAUAUAUGUAGUAAGGUAUUGUUUGUUUUGUUCUUGUCUUCCAAAAAAUUAUAUAUGACAAUUAUGCUGAUAUUGUAAUUUUACUUUGUAUGAAUAAUCAAUACACAAUUGGUGCAGAUUAAUGAAAAAUUAUACCUAUAUAUGCAACUGAGGAACGAGAGAGUGGG